GGGAGGUAGUGACAAUAAAUAACAAUACGGGGUUCUUUCGGAUCUCGUAAUUGGAAUGAGUACAAUUUAAAUCUCUUAACGAGGAACAAUUGGAGGGCAAGUCUGGUGCCAGCAGCCGCGGUAAUUCCAGCUCCAAUAGCGUAUAUUAAAGUUGUUGCAGUUAAAAAGCUCGUAGUUGAAUUUCGGGAUCAAUACGUCGGUCGUGCUUUUUUGGUACGCACUGGCGUCAUUGGUUUCUCCUUUCUGACGAACCAUGAUGUCAUUAAUUUGGUGUUAUGGGGAGUUAGGACUGUUACUUUGAAAAAUUAGAGUGUUUAAAGCAGGCAUUAGCUUGAAUACAUUAGCAUGGAAUAAUGAAAUAGGACGUUGAUCCUAUUUUGUUGGUUUCUAGGAUUGACGUAAUGAUUAAUAGGGAUAGUUGGG
rnacentral:rRNA from 1 species